UGAACCGUAACCGGAAAAACCCAAGCCAAAGCAGCAGGAACACGCGAGACCCUUCCUUUCACGGCGCAAAUCUUCGAUCCCCCGCGAGCUCCUCUUCCUCCACUGAUUUCCACCGGUCCAACGGCGAACAAGGAGCAACGUGAGCUCAGAUCGGGAGUUCCAAACUGAGUUCGUCAAUGGCGACUGGUUUCGAUGCAUCGACAGACAAAGAUGAACGAUGAAGGUGGAUCAAGUUUACGGAAUUCUUCACCUCUUCAUCCUAACGUUGAGAUUCGUACAGGAAGUUCGCUCAAGAAUUAGAAUUCCAUAACUCCAAUCGAUCUCGUGUAACCAACAUGUAAGCGUUGCGACCCGUGUGGAAUUCGAACUUGGAAUUCUAAACAAAGAACCACUUAUCUGGAUCGGAUCCGCGUGUAGAUCAUAGCGCCCGAACCAAAUUUCUGGCGCAAAGCGUUCUUCAUGUCCCUCUCGACCCAAUGGUUUGGAGUUCGGUUUCGACCUGUCUCGCAACAAACGGCAAACUGUCGAAGCGUGCCUUCUGUUGGUGAUGACGAAAGUAACAUGAAGAUGGUUGAUUGUUCUUCAAUGAAUGGAAAUUAUCAAAUUCGCGCAACCGACCAAAAAUUUGUGUUCAUCCUGAUGAUGGUGAGCAACCGUGAUGAACACGUGUUCUGUGGGGUAUUGAAGGAGGUUGCAGGCUCUUGAGGAACCUUGCUGCCGUUUGCACAGAGUAGUUCUUGAAGUCUCGUCCAAUUUGUUGCAAGGUAAACCGAAAACUGCAGAAUUGAUGUUUUACGGUUAAACCCAAAGCAAAGAGUGAUUCCCAGGUUCUAUGCCGGAAGCAAGUUGUGGUGAAUUAAACUCCGAGAGGAUGGUUGAAGCUUGAAGAAAAUGGAGGCUGGAGCUUGAAGGUUUUGUUUGAAGAAUGAAGAUUGAUGAUUUUGAAGAGAAAGAUGGAGGGUGAAGAAGAAGAUUGAAGAAUGAAGGUUGAAGAAUUUGAAGAAGUGAUUGAAGGUCCUUGAAUUGAGGAAGCAGACAGUUUUAUUGAUGUUGUCCAUGAACCGUACCCGGAUAUAGUUAGUAGUGCUUAUGCAGGGUGGUGCAAUAAUCUUGCUACUGGAAAAUGCUGGCAGGAUGCAUAUCGGCACCGUCCAUUGCGGGGUAGAUUAUGUAGGACUCUCACCGGUACGGUAUCGAAGGAUAUGGAAUUGAUUCACUAGCUAAAAGUCCAGACUAUGCAUCCAGUGGAGAGAGGCUAAGGAAGUUGAGCAAAUUCAAGGCCAAACAACGACCUAUAGAAAAUGCCGGUGUGGUACUUGAAACACCGCCUUUGGUGGCAGUCCAAAAUCUUGCUAUAUUAUACAUGCUAAGAAGCUGGAGGAAUCGUCUGCAGAUGCAGGCAACAUUUUGCCUUUGUCCACCAAAAUUCCUGACAAAUCGGCUCUAGAAGGCAGUGAGGCUCGGUAUCAUCGGUAGAGGAUGGUUGCGUGUCUGAAUUUCAGCAUUCAUGUCAUGCGCGCCAAGUCGGGAUUCACUCAUUGAAAGCAGGGCAGGUAUCAAAAUUGGCCAUGUUUCUUCCACUGCAUCAAUACAUGCCUCUUCUGAAUUAGGAAGCAUAAAUGAACUUGGGUUGAACUUUGAAUCCAUCCUCCUUUGGAAUUUUGUGUAAUCCUUCCUGCAAGUGGAAAAGAUGGAUUAAAAGGAAACGUGCCACUCCACCUUUACCGUCCAACGUACGAUUUGUACAAACAUGUCAUUAUGUUUUGGUGUUAUAUGGAAAUGAUUAUGGGAUUGGAUUGUAAUUGGAGAUGUUAAUUAUAUGUACGUAUUUAUUUUGUAGAAUAAUGUUUGUGGGUUUAUGAAUCGGAUGUUUGGGUGAAUGCCACGGUUGAAAUGUUUCGGUUAAUAUGUUUGGCGAUGUAGUUUGGAGAAUUUCGAAUGGAUUUGAAUGGAUAUUGGUUUACCAACAUGGUUUAUGGA